UGAGGAAUAUUGGCCAAUGGGCGGGAGCCUGAACCAGCCAAGCCGCGUGAGGGAGGAAGGCCCUAUGGGUCGUAAACCUCUUUUGUCAGGGAACAAAAGCGAGUAUGUAUACUAGUCUGAGUGUACCUGAAGAAAAAGCAUCGGCUAACUCCGUGCCAGCAGCCGCGGUAAUACGGAGGAUGCGAGCGUUAUCCGGAUUUAUUGGGUUUAAAGGGUGCGUAGGCGGCGGUGCAAGUCAGCGGUAAAAGCCCGGGGCUCAACCCCGGCGAGCCGUUGAAACUGCAGUGCUAGAGAAGGCGAGAGGUACGCGGAAUGCGCAGUGUAGCGGUGAAAAUGCUUAGAUAUUGCGCAGAACUCCGAUUGCGAAGGCAGCGUACUGGCGCCUGACUGACGCUGAGGCACGAAAGCGUGGGGAUCGAACAGGAUUAGAUACC
rnacentral:rRNA from 1 species